UGGUGGAGUGAUUUGUCUGGUUAAUUCCGAUAACGAACGAGACUCUAGCCUACUAACUAGCAAGCGGAUCAGCGAGUCCGCGCUGCUUCUUAGAGGGACUACUGGCGUUUAGCCAUACGAAAUUGAGCAAUAACA
rnacentral:rRNA from 1 species